rnacentral:pre_miRNA from 1 species
UUUGUACUCCCUCCGUCCCAAAAUUCUUGUCUUAAAUUUGUCUAAAUACGGAUGUAUCUAGUUACAUUUUAGUGUUAGAUACAUCCGUAUCUAAACAAAUGUAAGACAAUAAUUUUGGGACGGAGGGAAUACUAC